AGUUUGAAUUUUUAUUAAUCAGUGCAUAAGUCUUUCGCGUUUUACUAAAUAUUUCCAUGGAGGAGAACCUUUGCGAGUGUCCUGUAUUUUUGGGGGCUCUGCUCACAGCAGAGCU